rnacentral:piRNA from 7 species
CUCAGUCGGUAGAGCAUCAGACUUUU